GUAGUCUGCAACUCGACUACAUGAAGCUGGAAUCGCUAGUAAUCGCGAAUCAGAAUGUCGCGGUGAAUACGUUCCCGGGUCUUGUACACACCGCCCGUCACACCAUGGGAGUCAGUAACGCCCGAAGUCAGUGACCCAACCGAAAGGAGGGAGCUGCCUAAGGCGGGACCGAUAACUGGGGUGAAGUCGUAACAAGGUAGC
rnacentral:rRNA from 1 species